UUUCGAUAUAAAUGUCUUUUCUCUCUAAAUAUUUCUCUUGCUGUAAAAUGUUGGAAGAUAAUUAAAGAAGUUUUGCCUAUUCUAUUUUGACAGGAUCAAAUUUCUUUCAAAAGAAAUCCGAGUCAAAGGCUGGUCUCCAACUAAAAAGGAAUCUCCAUCAUCUUCAUCCAAGAAGACUCAAACCAGGCCUUCACCAUCAAAGAGUGAACUAAAGAAAAAAUUGGAAAAGGCAUUAUCAGAAUUGGAUAAUGAUCCGGAUGAAGCUGCUAUUAUGCAACUUCUUGGUGAAGCUUCGUCACAAAGUGAAGACAAUGGAGAUAUGAUGAAUCCUAAGUCCCUAGUAAGGUACUAUUUGAAUCCAUUUGAUUAUUCUUAAUUGAGGUUAUUAAAAACCGGAAUAAUUAAUCUUUCAGAUAGAGAUCAACAGAUGGGAAUUAUCCAGAAAGAGAUAAAGGAGUCUCAAAGAGACGGAAUCUUUAUCGAUAAGUCAGAUGGACCCUACCACCACCGAAAGUCUUUUGGACUAUUCGGAAAAGAAGAAAAGCAGUGGACCCCACUUAUCUUAUCUCUUCAAAAGAGGACCAGAGCUUAUCAAGAAAAUCUGGGCCUCGACCAAUCACAGACAAGGAACUAGAUUCCUCUUAUCGUUUCUCUUCUAUUUAAGACUUUGUAAAUCAAGAAAGAGAGCAUUCGGAAAAUUUUUGAUAGAACUCUCUUUUCUCUCUAAAUAUUUCUCCUGCAUUAAAAUGUUGGAAGAUCAAUUUUCCAAACUUGAAGAUUCAGGACAAGGGUAGUGGCCAAGCUAAAGCAAGUGGUUCUAGUGAUGCUCCCAAGAAGAACCACUCUCCUCUCUAGGGGUGAGCAAGAGACCUCUCCUUAUGUGGUGACCGGUUCCGGUCAUUGAAGUUGAUUUGAGGUGAUUUGAAGGAAGACUUGGACUUUCUAUUAUCCAAGUGGUAGGUCCUCAUUUUACCCCAGGACGAUGCCAUUAUUCUCUUUGUGAAGUUACAUAGUUACUACAACUUUUGUAUUGUCUCUAUUUCCUAUUUGAGACAAAGUUGUAUAAAGCCUAUAUACUUCUUACUUUUAUUGAUGUAGAGCUAUGCCCAAUA